rnacentral:rRNA from 1 species
GAUGAACGCUGGCGGCGUGCCUAAUACAUGCAAGUCGAGCGAACAGACGAGGAGCUUGCUCCUCUGACGUUAGCGGCGGACGGGUGAGUAACACGUGGAUAACCUACCUAUAAGACUGGGAUAACUUCGGGAAACCGGAGCUAAUACCGGAUAAUAUAUUGAACCGCAUGGUUCAAUAGUGAAAGACGGUUUUGCUGUCACUUAUAGAUGGAUCCGCGCCGCAUUAGCUAGUUGGUAAGGUAACGGCUUACCAAGGCGACGAUGCGUAGCCGACCUGAGAGGGUGAUCGGCCACACUGGAACUGAGACACGGUCCAGACUCCUACGGGAGGCAGCAGUAGGGAAUCUUCCGCAAUGGGCGAAAGCCUGGCGGAGCAACGCCGCGUGAGUGAUGAAGGUCUUCGGAUCGUAAAACUCUGUUAUUAGGGAAGAACAAAUGUGUAAGUAACUAUGCACGUCUUGACGGUACCUAAUCAGAAAGCCACGGCUAACUACGU